GAGGGUAUAGCUCAGUAGUAGAGCACGUGCCUAGAAUGCAUGCGGUCCUGGGCUCAAUCUCCAGUACCUCCA
rnacentral:tRNA from 1 species